UACGUAGGGGGGCAAGCGUUGUCCGGAUUUAUUGGGCGUAAAGAGCGUGUAGGCGGCUUGACAGGUCUGCUGUGAAAACUCGAGGCUCAACCUCGAGAUGUCGGCGGAAACCGUCUGGCUAGAGUCCGGAAGAGGAGAGUGGAAUUCCUGGUGUAGCGGUGAAAUGCGCAGAUAUCAGGAAGAACACCUAUGGCGAAGGCAGCUCUCUGGGACGGUACUGACGCUGAGACGCGAAAGCGUGGGGAGCGAACAGG
rnacentral:rRNA from 1 species